rnacentral:rRNA from 1 species
AUCACUAAGCGGAGGAAAAGAAACUAACAAGGAUUCCCUCAGUAACGGCGAGUGAACCGGGAAGAGCCCAGCACCGAAUCCCCUGCAUCGACUGUAGAGGGAACUGUGGUGUUUAGGAGAGCCUGUGGAGCUGGCGGAGGCGUCCGAGUCCUUAUGAACGGGGCUUUUGCCUGAGCGGGUGUCAGUCCUCUAGGACGCAACCGUCCAGUUGCUCAGUACCUCCUAGGAGUCGGGUUGUUUGAGAUUGCAGCCCAAAGUGGGGUGGUAAACUCCAUCUAAGGCUAAAUACUGGCACGAGACCGAUAGCAAACAAGUACCGUGAGGGAAAGUU